UCACAUUAUCCCAAAAGUCUUAAAUCAGCUCCACAAUACCUAUUUUUGGGGGACACAAUUCAAUCCAUAACCCCUCCCAUGAUGGCAGCAUGGAUAACCACGUGGGGACACACAGACACGAAGCUCACCUGCUACACAGCGCAGACAUGAGCUGGUGUUCCUGGCUGUGAGCAACUCACAACCAACAAGUUUCAGGGCACAGAGGAGGAAAGCAGAAUACUCUUAGCAAUCCAGUAAAGAUCCUGCAAUAAACGAAAAUUUGGACAAGGGCAAAAGCAGAAGCUGAGAAUUUUCUGCAAUGAGUAGAGUCAGAUAAUGAGGAAGAUAACAAGAACACACAGGACAUGCAGAUGACCGUCAGCUGAACUUGACCGCUGCCACCACAACAGAAGAAAUCCCAGGCCAGACCAGAAGAAAGGCAAGUCCCUAGGCACAGUGGACCAAGUGUUCCCACAUUAAUAUUAGACCUUUGCUGAAUGAGGUGGUUGCGGAGAACCUGAACGGGAUCCUCCAAGACUUUCUUCCUCUCGGGUUUGCAGCCACACUUCCAUCUCAACAAAGACGUGGUGGCACACUAUUGAAAUGCAAAGGACCUUUUCCAAAUAUAUAACCCUAUACAAUUGCUUUCACGGCUCAAGUUAAUGGAAACCGAUCUUGCUUUCUAUGGGAUUUGGGUUUGUAUUGCUUUAUCUUUUUUUUGUUUGUUUGUUUCACUGAGGUGAGUGAGACAAGAAAUUUAAAACAGUGCACACUGAAGAUCCAAGCUCGCCAGCCUAGCAGUAGAUCUGCUGGUUCAGUGUGUGCACAUUUGACCAUUAUCCCCCUUCAUGCAUUAGAAAGGGGAAGCACACAUCCUCCUCAGCAAGUGAGUCUGUGAAGGUUCACUUAGUGAGAUAGGCACAUCCUCGCGGGAGACCUGCAGGAGUGCUCCUGCCACUGAGGAAAGGAAAAGGCAUGUAACUUCUCACAUUACAGCAGACGCUUGUUUUAAAAAGAGAAGGAAGGGA